GUAGAAACAGAGAGUUUGCAUGAUGGCCUUUUUCAGUUUUGUCAACUGAACGGCUACUAGUGAGGGUCAGCAGGUUCUUGUCAUGAUGAGCCCUUGCCAGCCAAAAUGGAAGACCAAAAACACAAAGAAAAUCAGUCACAGCAAGCCAGUCAAACCAGUCCUGUUGGGAAUGAACAUGGCCUUCUUGUGCCCAAACAGAGAAGACGGAGAACUGAAAAUUUGCACAUUUCUAUUGCUCCUAGAAUGAGCAAAUCAGCUGUGCAUCAUCUCUGGAAUUUGGGAAGGAAAUAGCCGAAUAUGGAGGAUGAAGCCAGUUGAUGAAGAUAUCAAUUCAGUGGCCACCAAGUGCUGCACUGCUGCCUGAACCCAUCAGGUAUCUGCUGUGAAGACUGCAUUCCUGAACAGAUCUACUGUGACAGCUCAGAUGUUACGGCCCAUAAAAGAAACUUACCAACUGAACAACUGCAAGAUAGUGGACAUCCACACCAGGUGGUUUGUGAAGAAAGCACGGAGGACCAUCAGACUCCAGCCACCCCAACCAUGGACUGCUUUCACCAUUACCAUCAACAGUACCCGCACCAGCAGACGUGUUCAUGGUAUUGUGACAAUAAAGUGAUUUGA